AGUAGGUAGUUCCGGCGCUACCGUGCAGUCGACGGUACACGAUAUCUUGCUUCCGCUGACGAGCGGCGGACGGGUGAUUAAUGUGUGGAGAGGACUGCCCGAUGGAGGGGGAUAACUACUGGAAACGGUGGCUAAUACCGCAUAAUCUCUUAGGACCAAAGAGGGGGACCUUCGGGCCUCUUGCUGUCGGAUGUGCCCAUAUGGGAUUAGCUAGUAGGUAAGGUAAUGGCUUACCUAGGCGACGAUCCCUAGCUGGUCUGAGAGGAUGAUCAGCCACACUGGGACUGAGACACGGCCCACACUCCUACGGGAGGCAGCAGUGGGGAAUAUUGCACAUUGGGCGCAAGCCUGAUGCAUCCAUGCCGCGUGUAUGAAGAAAGGCCCUAUGGUUGUAAAGUACUUUUCAGUCGGGAGGAAGGGCGUUGAUGUUAAUACCAUCAACGAUUGACGUUACCGACAGAAGAAGCACCGGCUAACUCCGUGCCAGCAGCCGCGGUAAUACGGAGGGUGCAAGCGUUAAUCGGAAUUACUGGGCGUAAAGCGCACGCAGGCGGUUAAUUAAGUCAUAUGUGAAAAUCCCCCGGGCUUAACCUGGGAAUGGUAUCCAAACUGGGUUAGAUAGAGUCUUUGUAGAGGGGGGGUACCAACUU
rnacentral:rRNA from 1 species